rnacentral:lncRNA from 1 species
UGCAUGAUUUCAUGGCAUCUUCCACGAUGCUUUUCUUCUGUGCUACAUACCAUGCAUUUGCGUGGAUUCGGUGGAUGAGGAAAUCAAUAUCAGAUCGCCUCAGCUUUAAUGAUUCUGACGCGUAUUGCCGGCCACACACGGAUAGUUCUGGUGUUGCUCGCGACAGUCUGCAUGGUCAUACUCGUACUCGAGGUCCCUCGUAAUACGUACUACAGAGUAACUAUAUAAUUACUAGUUAGUUAACUACUCCGUACUCAUAACUAGUGCGUAUACGUACUACGUAAGGCUAUGCCAGGAAUGUGACGUGUGAGUGGCUGUUAGUAGUGUGGUACGCAGAUAGUACUAAUACGGUAUCGAUACAUUACCCUGUAUUGAAUUCCCGUAUGUAUGAAUGAACAUUCGACACACACACACACACUUCAGAAAGUCCGUACCGCCAGGGUUGUACGUCUUCCAAGUCUACGUACAGGUCAGUACGGUCUCGUGAUUCCUCGGCUCGCCAACCCGUUUUGGCAUCAGCUCCUCCAUUUCUGAUCGUCACAUCUCGAAGCGCCCUGGGUUUCAAUUAUCACAUACGACUUUACUAUUUAUAUAUUCACACAGCGUUGUGAAUGGUCUCGAAAAGUCCAUCCAAGAUUUGCUGGAUAAUGAUGUCUCGUACGAGUACCAAGUUUCGCGUAUUUGACCGCUCGUUCCAAGCCUCAGCUGGAAAGAUCGAUCCAGAACACAAACUCUGCUUGACCGCCGAACCAAAUCCCAUCACAAUGGGACAAUGAACGGAUGAGUCAAUAGUCGGUGUACAUAGGGAGUACUUAGUUUCAAGGCAUCAAGAUUUUAAACGGAGAUCAAGCAAAGAUGUACCUGAAAGAGAGCUAUCAUCGACAUAAAGCUCAGAGCUGAGCUCCUUCUACGCGCACAGUUGUCAUUGACGUCAUAACAACAUUCUCCAAACAUACAUUGAAUAGAUCAACCGACCGCAUACAAACAUGGUCUUCUAGAACUUAAAAAUAUUCUUUGAUCUUGACUAUCUCGAUUCAAAUUGCGACUCGUAUUAAUGCUUUGGCCGUAUGGCAAGUCAAACAUUGAAUGUAAUUGUUGUUUGUUGUCGUGGGUCUGGCACCUAAGACAAAGAUAUAUAUAUAUUUAGAAUCGAAUGGGUUGGACCUCAACCCAGAUGCCCCCACCCCAAAGACUUGGAAAACAUACGGAGUAGCAUCUAUCAUUUACAUAGUCCGCGUGAUUCAAAUUGCGAGACAAUGUCUCUAUCGUAUUGCUCUCAAUUCCGUACUCAUACAUGGGAAGGCAUACUCUUGUACUCUUGCAUUAUCGAAGGGAGUUGAUGCCCGAGUCUCGAAAAAUGCACAACCCGACCAAUCGGUGUGUCUCCUGUCAAACAACCUCAAAGAGCCGCAUGGAAAUUAGGCGCGUGUGACCAAUUGAAUCUUGAUAAACACUUCUCUGGUAUGACUGGACGGCAGAGCUGUAUUUGCCUUUGACUAUAAGGUUCUAUCUAUAUCAUUGGCCUCUGCAUGAACGCAAGUCAUGCUACAUGAAAUUCUAAAGUCAAUUCGCACUUACUUCGUCCGCACGAAAUGUACGAUAUGUCAUAAUAGGAUAAGUACUUAUUGGAAAAAGGGAAGUCGUCUAAAAGGUCCUUGCGUAAUCCUGCUAAUCGGACUUGGAAUACCUACCUAGGUAUGGUAUCACAUUGGGUGGAAUGACCGGGUCCGAUGAGUAAACUACCAUAGCAAGAAUUAACAGCGAUAUGACGACCAUCAUUGAUCAACCACAAUCCUUCGUUUCAGAGUAAUUUUUGAACGUCCACAGGGCUCUACAAGAGUCCCCUUUCGAACCCCAGGGGGCCGCGCAUCUACUCUCUGAAAGUCGUACUCCAAUAACAAAUGAGACAACGCCAAUUUCUGCAUGUUCACCGCAAACCACCUACCAGGGCACGCGGGCCGGCCCAGGCCAAAGUUAAGAAACACAGGCGUUAUGGUGGUGACAGUCGGGCGAAUCAAGUCUUCUGAUGCGCGCCUUGGGUUGAAACCACCAGGGUAAUUGGCCGGGUCUUGCUGAAUAGCUUUGAGAGGUGCAGCUAGAAUCGCGCCGUGUGGUACGUGUAGACCGUUGGAA